GACGUAGGGUGUAAGCGUUGUCCGGAUUUAUUGGGCGUAAAGAGCUCGUAGGCGGCUUGUUGCGUCGACUGUGAAAACCCGCGGCUUAACCGCGGGCUUGCAGUUGAUACGGGCAGGCUAGAGUUCGGUAGGGGAGACUGGAAUUCCUGGUGUAGCGGUGAAAUGCGCAGAUAUCAGGAGGAACACCGGUGGCGAAGGCGGGUCUCUGGGCCGAUACUGACGCUGAGGAGCGAAAGCGUGGGGAGCGAACAGG
rnacentral:rRNA from 1 species